rnacentral:rRNA from 1 species
CAGUAGCCGCGGUAAUACGAAGGGUGCAAGCGUUAAUCGGAAUUACUGGGCGUAAAGGGCGCGUAGGCGGACAGUUCAGUCGGGGGUGAAAGCCCGGGGCUCAACCUCGGAAUUGCCUUCGAUACUGGCUGUCUUGAGUAUGAGAGAGGUGUGUGGAACUCCGAGUGUAGAGGUGAAAUUCGUAGAUAUUCGGAAGAACACCAGUGGCGAAGGCGACACACUGGCUCAUUACUGACGCUGAGGCACGAAAGCGUGGGGAGCAAACAGGAUUAGAUACCCCUGUAGUCCCUGUCUCUUAUAC